CCCUUAUGGCAAGGGCGCAAUAGGUCUUGCCCGUUGAAUGGUCAGGAGUUAUGAAUGAGAAGGGUUUUCUAAAUAAG